AGAGUUUGAUCCUGGCUCAGAACGAACGCUGGCGGCGUGGCUAAGGCAUGCAAGUCGAACGGACUCCUGGAGGGGUAACCCAAAGGGAAGUUAGUGGCGAACGGGUGAGGAAUACAUGGAUAACGUACCCCGGACUCAGGGAUAGCAGGGCGAAAGCGCUGGUAAUACCUGAUGAUCUCUUUGGAUCGCAUGGUCUGAAGAGCAAAGUUCCGACGGUCUGGGAUCGGUUCAUGUCCUAUCAGCUAGUUGGUGGGGUAAUGGCCUACCAAGGCAACGACGGGUAUCGGGCGUGAGAGCGUGUACCGACACAUCGGAACUGAGACACUGUCCGGACACCUACGGGUGGCUGCAGCAACGAAUAUUCCGCAAUGGACGCAAGUCUGACGGAGCGACGCCGCGUGCAGGAAGAAGUCCCUCGGGAUGUAAACUGCUGUUGGGGGUGAGAAAGAUCUGAUCAGCCCCUGAGGAAGCACCGGCUAACUCCGUGCCAGCAGCCGCGGUAAUACGGAGGGUGCAAGCGUUGUUCGGAAUCACUGGGCUUAAAGCGCGUGUAGGCGGGAGGUCAGGUGCUUUGUGAAAUCCCUCGGCUCAACCGAGGAAUUGCUUGGCAAACCGGCCUUCUUGAGGCAAGUAGAGGUGACUGGAACGACUGGUGGAGCGGUGAAAUGCAGAUAUCAGUUGGAACGCCGGAGGCGAAAGCGGGUCACUGGGCUUGUCCUGACGCUGAGACGCGAAAGCGUGGGUAGCAAACAGGAUUAGAUACCCUAGUAGUCC
rnacentral:rRNA from 1 species